UGCAGGAUCAGGCCCCCUCUGGGCUCCUUCUCAGCCAAGGAAUGUAUCCUUCCCUUCUCCUCCACAUAUCUUACCUGUGAUGUAUGCUACUUUUCGAGGAGGGAAUAAUAUGCCAUUUACCACAAAGCACAGCUUCAAAGCCUUUGUGUGUUUUGCAUCCCCAGCCAAAGCUUUUUAUUUACCACCUUAAGAACGUAACCGGCUAAGGGAUAGUAGCCGUUAUUGUCUUCAUCUUUACACCCUCAUUUUCACGCAGCAAACAUCCCAUAUUAGGGCCAGAUUCUCACUCAGAUGGAAGUUAUUAACUUUAAGCAGAACGGAGCCGAUUUCAGCCAGCCGCAGCCCGUGCCCUCCUAACACAGGCUCUUUAAAGCAUCUCCUUGUUCUUUUUUUUUUUUUUCUUUCUUUCCUUUGGAGGGCAUGAGUCUUUAAACAUGUUUGUUUUACAGAAAGUGGUGGUCGAUUUCUAACUUAUUUUCCCCAACAAACAUGGAAAGAGAAUAUUAACAGGGAAUAUUAAUAGAGCUGAGUGCGGCACGGUGCUAGUUAGCUUGUAGUAGCCGAGAAAUAUGAACUAGUGAACAUAAUCCAUAAACUCCAUUUGGUUACUAUAAUACUCCAAUCUGUAUUUAUUACAACCCCACUCUGAUGCUUAUACAACUGCAAUUGCUAGAUUUAUACACUCUAAUGGUUUCACAAUAGGAAAAACCUGUGUUCUUUAUCUUUCUUUUCCUGUCCAAAAUAACCCCUUCCACAUAUACUUCAGGCUUCCCUGGACCUUGUCUGGGUUUAAUCACAGGCUGUGGGACAAAAUGUGCAUUAUUAAGAAAUAUAAAUAUUUUCAGAAGCAAUCAAAGGGUUGAAAGAUUGAUUCGGCAUGUAGAUUGGAUUUAAUUCGAAGCAGCUUUGUUCUAAUGAGGACUACUGGGAUACAAAGACAGCAGCCGCUUAUGGCCACCAGUUGGGAGCUUGGAUUCACUGCAGUAACCUGUCAAGAAUUUCACCCAACUGCCAGGGACAAAUCCUGCAGUCCAAAGCUCCCACUGACUUUGGUGGCCACUUUGCCCAAAGGCAAGGUGGUAAAACUUGGCUCAGCAGCAAGUGCAGCAAACCCCAGAGCUCUGCAGCAGUUUGCCCUGGGAGGUGUUUUUUUUUUCCCUGCAAAAGUGAAGUGCAGUUCACUGUUGGCUUGGAAGCUUGUGUCCUCGAUGGGUGACCCAGCAGAACUGCCAUGCUCAUCCUGCAUCCCAGGGAAAAGCCUGCAACGUCCAACAAAGCAUCCUUGGAGAGGGAGCUGA
rnacentral:lncRNA from 1 species